rnacentral:rRNA from 1 species
CCUACGGGGGGCAGCAGUGGGGAAUAUUGGACAAUGGGGGGAACCCUGACGCAGCGACGCCGCGUGAGUGAUGAAGUAUUUCGGUACGUAAAGCUCUAUCAGCAGGGAAGAAAAUGACGGUACCUGACUAAGAAGCCCCGGCUAACUACGUGCCAGCAGCCGCGGUAAUACGUAGGGGGCAAGCGUUAUCCGGAUUGACUGGUGGUAAAGGGAGCGUAGACGGUGCAGCAAGUCUGAGGUGAAAGGUCGGGGCCCAACCCCGGGACUGCAUUGGAAACUGGUGAACUGGAGUGCCGGAGAGGUAAGCGGAAUUCCAAGUGUAGGAGUGAAAUGCGUAGAUAUUAGGAGGAACACCAGUGGCGAAGGCGACUAACUGGACUAUAACUGACGUUGAGGCGCGAAAGCGUGGGGAGCAAACAGGAUUAGAUACCCUGGUAGUC